GCCUGUGUGGCUUAGUUGGUUAAGCAUCUGACUUUGGUUCAAGUCAUGAUAUCAGGGUUCGUGGGUUCAAGCCCCAUGUCAGGCU
rnacentral:tRNA from 1 species